ACGAUAAGAAACCUGAUUUUGGAAAGAUAGCUUGAGGAUACAGGCCUUCCACUGGCUUUUGAGUCUAAGCUGCCAGUUAUGUGUGCAAGUACUAGGUUUUAGAGAAGCAGCCACGAUGGGAUCGCAGUGACUGUUUCAGGUCCUUGAGAAAAUAAGGCCCAAUGGAUAAUCUUGAAGAAGCUAUUGCAAACUACUAGUGAUAUCAAGGGAUGUGCCUAACUGCAGCACUUGUGACAAGGGCUAACGGCUUUAAGCUGAAAGAGGAUAGAUCCAGAUUAGAUAUUAGGAAGAAUUUCUUUACUAGGAGAGUGGUGAGGCACUUGCACAGGCUGCCCAGAGAAGUUGUGGCUGCCCCAUCCCUGGAUGUGUUCAAGGCCAGGUUGGACAGGGCUUUGAGCAGCCUGGCCUACUGGAAGGUUUCCCUGCCCAUGACAGGAAGGUUGGAACUGGAUGAUCUUUAAGGUCCCUUCAAACCCAAACCAUUCUCUGAUUACCCAGUCAGUAGCUUUUGCUGAGCACCAUGACAGUGGCAGUUUAUAUGACAACCUAGUGCUCUUUUCAUAGACCUUUUCCUGUAUUAAGCAUCUUAAAUGGGUCUAGUUACUGUCAGUUUCUUACAACUGAGAUCUCUGCUGACUGCCUAGACAAAUGGACCUGUUUGUGAACACUAAGUAUUACACACAGGCCAUAGGCACUAGUCUGGAGUGCAUCAAGUGGAGGGAGGUGGUAUGGAAGCUCCUGACACGAUGCAGUUACCAUGACAGAGUGGAGUCACAGAACUAAGGUGGAAUGCUUUUUACCAAAAGGAAAAAACAAGCAAACAAACAAGACAAAAAAAAGUAGAGUCUGAUAAGAGUUAGCACAAAAAGUUUGGCAUUUUUGCUGCCUGCAGUACCUCUUGUAUCUGUGAUCAGCCCAUUCUAGCACAAAAUAAGAGCAGCAAUCAGUGGUAAAUGCAGACCUAUUAAACAGCUGCUUAAAACUGCAUUUAAUUGUCUGCCCUGUAAUGAUAAUAGCUGUGCCACUAAUGGAACAUUGUGAAGCAAACAUUAUCCUUAUCUGAUCUCAAUUGCUUAUCCAAUUUCAUGUAUAGUGGAAAUACUAUUUGUUAGUUCUCUUGGAUAAGAGUAAAAUCUCUUUUAUGGUACAUUUAAUAA